rnacentral:lncRNA from 1 species
UUAGAUUAAAUGUAGAAUUAUGGAGAAUAAUCCGAAUAAUGACUUUGAGGUACGACUUGAAUCGUUUCCUUAAAGUGUUAUUUGCCCCCACUCGAAUGAGUUUGCUAAAGGGUUCUUGGCAAAUCACUUCCAGGAUACAACAAAGUAUGAAAUAUUCGAUUAGCAAAACCGAAUUAUAUUCCCUUAGAAAUAACUAGAAAGAAAUUGUAUGAAUGUGAUGAAGAGAGAAAAGAGAGCAAAGAAAUUAUGUAGACAACAAAUUUCUGAAUGAUUCUUUUCUACUAAUGUCACCACUAUAUAUAGAGAGAAUUACACCCUUUAGACACAUCAUUUGAUUUGAGUAUGUCUUUUCACCAUGGGAUACAACACAUUGCAUCAUUAUGUCCAAUGGACAUAUCUAAUACAAACACCAAUUACCCA